ACAAAUUGCACUGGCCAGCUUCCUGCUCCUGGGAGCGGGGUCCAUGGCUGAGCUUCUGCUCCCCGGAAGAGCUCCAGACUCCUCAAGGGUGUGAGAUUUUUCAAACCAAUUCCAAAUAAGCCAGGGGAGGUUUUCCUGUCUUGGUUUCCAUCAUCACCACCUCCACAGUUGGAGAUUCCCUCCUAAUCCAGAUGCUUGAACCAGGACUAGGACUUCAUAUAUCACUGGGACACUUAGCAUAAUCCCCAUUGCAGGUUGCCAGACAUCACCCAAAGUGAUGUUCUACCAAAGACGGAAACAGCAGCUCUCCCAUGACCUUCCAGGUGCUGCCCUGACUCCUCCAGCUGAACCUGCUAGGGCAGACGAAAGUGGAACAUGCAGCAUAUUUCCCUGCCACUCUGUCCAUGUGCCCACCAACUCGGCUGCAGGCUCCAGGGACACCAGCUGGGGGGGCCUGCCUGGGGCUCAGAGCUGAGCAAGGUUACAGGGCAGAUAGGUUGGCCUGGAUCAACCUGACCACCCUCAACUGGAGUGGUGACUUCUUCACUGUCUGACACUAAACCAGGAACCAAGUGGAUCUCUCUGAGUGCAGGGUGGGUGACCUUAACCAGUGGAGGCAUUUCUCUUCUUACAGACCUCGUAUUUUUCUUUACUAGGUUCUGUGCUCCUCUCAAGGGUCCUAAGUGUUCCUCCAACCUGAGUGUUCUGCAGGGAAACAUGCUGUGUAAACACCAUGCCUAUUUCCUGCUUGGAGCACAGGUUUUGUAGUAGAGCUCUCAGGGGUGUGGAAGAAGCCUGGCAGCCCACACCCUAUAAAUGCUGUUGUCCACCUGUAUGCUCUGACUUGGAGGCAGAGACCCAAGCAGCUGGAGGCUCUGUGUGUGGGUCCAUCUCUACCAGGGGCUCAGCAGGGCCUAAGCCGGGGAGUGGGAGAACAGACCCCAAGGAGAAGGAAGACCUAAUUACUGACUGUGAGAGGGUCAUCACCCCCCUGAUCAUCACCUUGAGGGGCCUAGGCUGUGUUCAUCUUUUUUUCAUUCUCAGGUCGUUGAUUUCUUAGAGCCUGAAAAGAAGCAGCCUGGAGACCCCACACCUCCAGCCGGAGGCCUGAAGCGGGAGACCACGCCAGCUGCCAGAUGAUGCUGGGAAUUUUCCGCAGGUGCCCGAGGUCUUCCCGGCACUCUGGUCUCACCUGCCCUGCCUCUCGAGCUCGCCCAGCUUCCUGAGUCCUGACAGAGCACAGUCGCGGGGGAUGUUGGCAGAGGCAGCAGAUGUUUCACA
rnacentral:lncRNA from 1 species